rnacentral:rRNA from 1 species
AUGAAGCGAGAAGUCGACGCGCCGAUUUUCGGCGUCCGGCCCUCCGCAAGCGCCCACGGGAGUUCGGGUUCCGGACCUGGUCCGAUCCCGUUCCCUCCGUGGGGCUGUUUGCGAUCAGGAGGUGUCCUCGGACGGCGUCGUUUGUCUCCAGUCCGCGACGCUACGGCUUGGAUGGCCUACCCGACCCGUCUUGAAACACGGACCAAGGAGUCUAACAUGCGCGCGAGUCGUUGGGUCGGACGCGCUCCGCUAAACCCAUAGGCGUAAUGAAAGUGAAGGCCCCUUUUGGGUGCCGAGGGAGGACGGAGCCGCUCCCCUCGUGGGACGGCUCCCGCACUCCCGGGGCGUCUGAUUCCUCAUUGCGAGGGAAGGCGCACCCAGAGCGCACACGUUGGGACCCGAAAGAUGGUGAACUAUGCCUGGCCAGGACGAAGUCAGGGGAAACCCUGAUGGAGGUCCGUAGCGAUUCUGACGUGCAAAUCGAUCGUCGGAGCUGGGGAUAGGGGCGAAAGACUAAUCGAACCAUCUAGUAGCUGGUUCCCUCCGAAGUUUCCCUCAGGAUAGCUUGCGCUCGGAGGAGAGUCUCAUCCGGUAAAGCGAAUGAUUAGAGGCCUUGGGGCCGAAACGGCUUCAACCUAUUCUCAAACUUUAAAUGGGUGAGAACUCCGGCUUGCUCGAUCAAUUUAAUGAAGCCGGAGUCGGGGCCACGAGCCCUCAGGAUCGGAGUGCAUAGUGGGCCACUUUUGGUAAGCAGAACUGGCGCUGUGGGAUGAACCAAACGACGGGUUAAGGCGCCCGAAUCGACGCUCAUGGGAAACCAUGAAAGGUGUUGGUUGCUUAAGACAGCAGGACGGUGGCCAUGGAAGUCGGAAUCCGCUAAGGAGUGUGUAACAACUCACCUGCCGAAGCAACUAGCCCUGAAAAUGGAUGGCGCUGAAGCGUCGUGCCUAUACCCGGCCGUCGCCGCAGGGCGGGCCCCGUGAGGGGUGCCGCUUGACGCGGCGACGAGUAGGAGGGUCGCGGCGGCGUGCGCAGAAGGGUCUGGGCUCGAGCCUACCUGGAGCCGCCGCCGGUGCAGAUCUUGGUGGUAGUAGCAAAUACUCCAGCGAGGCCCUGGAGGACUGAUGUGGAGAAGGGUUUCGUGUGAACAGCCGUUGCACACGAGUCAGUCGAUCCUAAGCCCUAGGAGAAAUCCGAUACUAACGGCGAUGGGACGAAAGAACGAAAGAAAACAGCCCAUUGAUCGGGCGAAAGGGAAUCCGGUUCCUAUUCCGGAACCCGGCAGCGGAACCGCUGUUUGUCGGGCCCUCACAAGGGGUUCGUCAGGGUAACCUAAAAGGGCCCGGAGACGCCGUCGGGAGCCCCGGAAAGAGUUUUCUUUUCUGCAUGAGCGUUCGAGUUCCCUG